UCUUCAUUUCACACACUCUCACCGGUCAGAGAGGCGAGAGAGUGUGUGGAAUGAAGAGA
rnacentral:pre_miRNA from 1 species